GUGAAUAUAGCUCAUUUGGUAGAGCAUUUGCCUCACAUGCACAAAGCCCUGGGUUCAAUCCCCAGCACC
rnacentral:tRNA from 1 species